UCCACAAGCUCGGAGAAUGAACCUUCACUUUCAAAUAUGAGAUUAUAUAACCUUUCGGUAUCUUUUCACAUAUAUCGGAUAUAACAUAGUGGUAGAAGAGACAUGGAGGAGGAGGAGGAGGAGGAGGAGAAGAAAACUAAAACAUCCUGGGGAUGAGGUAAAAAACCAAAAGUAACCUUGGAGUACUUGGAUGACAGAUUUAAAUGAAGUCAUAUUUCUUCAUGUUCAAAGGAAAGUAAAAAAAAAAAAACACCAACAUUUUCCAUCAUGCGUACAGUAAAAAGG